CUUGCAUUACCUUGAAAAAAAUAACAGGCCAACAGCUGCUUUUCAACUGCAACAGUGAGGGCCCAAAUACAGAGGACUGAUGUGUCCAAAAUGUUGAGAGAGGAAAAGUACGAACAUAUCCAAGGAGAAUAAAGACAUUUCCAGACAAAAUGAAACAGAGAAUUCGUCACCAGCACAUCGGCAGUCGAAGGAACACUAAAGGGUGAACUUGAGGCAAAAAGGAAGACGAUGCCGGAUGAAAGGCUGGAAAUGCGGGAAGAAUUCAAGGGAUGACCUCAAAUACGGGGAGAAGAGGACUGGAGAGAAAAGGAGCGGCAAAGAAGAGGAAACCGGACCUUGGAGAAGAAGUUAGAG
rnacentral:lncRNA from 1 species